UGGCGCAGCUAACGCGAUAAGUCGACCGCCUGGGGAGUACGUCCGCAAGGUUAAAACUCAAAUGAAUUGACGGGGGCCCGCACAAGCGGUGGAGCAUGUGGUUAAUUCGAAGCAACGCGAAGAACCUUACCUGGCCUUGACAUGUCCGGAAUCUUGCAGAGAUGCGAGAGUGCCUUCGGGAAUCGGAACACAGGUGCUGCAUGGCUGUCGUCAGCUCGUGUCGUGAGAUGAUGGGUUAAGUCCCGUAACGAGCGCAACCAUUGUCCUUAGUUACCAGCACCUCGGGUGGGCACUCUAAGGAGACUGCCGGUGACAAACCGGAGGAAGGUGGGGAUGACGUCAAGUCAUCAUGGCCCUUACGGCCAGGGGUACACACGUGCUACAAUGGUCGGUACAGAGGGUUGCCAAGCCGCGAGGCGGAGCUAAUCCCAUAAAACCGAUCGUAGUCCGGAUCGCAGUCUGCAACUCGACUGCGUGAAGUCGGAAUCGCUAGUAAUCGUGAAUCAGAAUGUCACGGUGAAUACGUUCCCGGGCCUUGUACACACCGCCCGUCACACCAUGGGAGUGGGUUGCUCCAGAAGUAGCUAGUCUAACCGCAAGGGGGACGGUUACCACGGAGUGAUUCAUGACUGGGGUGAAGUCGUAACAAGGUAGCCGUAGGGGAACCUGCGGCAGGAUCACCUCCUGAAGCUUGGAUUCCCGGG
rnacentral:rRNA from 1 species